GUGCAGGUGAUGUGAACUAGAUCACAGCUGAGUCCCGUGAUGUGCUCAAAGGAACCACUGAUGCAC